rnacentral:rRNA from 1 species
UGACCUCGGAUCAGGUAGGAAUACCCGCUGAACUUAAGCAUAUCAAAAAACGGAAGGA